rfam:Dipodomys ordii contig_30188, whole genome shotgun sequence.
GUCUUUGGCCAUACCACCCUGAAAGAGCUUUAUUUCGUCUGAUCUCAGAAACUAAGCAGGGUCCAGCCCAUUUAGUGCUUGGAUGGAAGAACUAAUUGGAAUAUCAAGGUUGACUCCU